GAACCACUAAAACACUAAGAAAUACUACAAUGCUUCCUUCCAGGAAUAAUACUCCUUCAUCAACUGAUAACCACAAUGUCCAACUCUGCACUCUCAAAAGACUGCUCAAAUCACAAUAAUUUCCAUCCAACACCAGAAAGAACAGACUUCACUCCAACCAAUCUGGAUCCACACAACUUCUGUAAUCACAGACUUCCUCUAUCCAAAAUACAUACAACUCUCGAUAAACAAUAAUCAUAAUCUUCCAAUCAUAAUCAGUCUUCUAAUAACUUUUUAUAUAAUUCAAUCACAUAAUACUCUAAUUACAUAAUCAAUAACUCAUAAAUCAAUCUCUCAUUUAUUCCACAGACUCACUUCUCAGUAUUCAAAAACUAUCCAUUACUCUUCAACAACAAAGACAACAAAAAAAACAAAGAGGUAGCACCAAGCUUAGCCCUAGCUCAUGACUAUUACAGUCUGGCCUCCCA
rnacentral:lncRNA from 1 species